AAUGACAUGAGCACACUGAAUGAUAACAAUUAUAUAUCUGGUUUGGUUUUAUAUUAUUUGCAUAAUAAAUCGAAUAAAAAAUAUGUAAAUUCAAUUUAUCCUAAGUUAAGGGAUAGGGAAAACGUAACUAUCCAUGUGAAUAAUAAUAGUAACAGUAACAAAAGUAACAAAAGUAACAAUAGUAACAAUAGUAACAAAAGUAACAAAAGUAACAAUAGUAACAAUAGCAACAAUAGUAACAAUAGCAACAAUAGUAACAAUAGCUAUAAUAAUACACAUGUUUAUUUCCUUGACUUAAUUGAUACAAAUGUAGAUUUAAGCAAAAUAUAUAUAACGAUUGAAAACGUUCAUAUCCCAUUUCUCGAAUUGUUUCCUGCACAUAUCACAUACAACAAAACAAAAGAAGUUUUAGAAAAUGCUUUUAACAUCAUUAAAAAAAAAUACAAUAUAAAUAUGAAUAAAAAAAAAUUAUUUGUAAAGCAUAAAUUAAGGAUUUAUUUAGGUUUCAUAUGUCCAAAAUAUAGAAAAAAAUUAUAUAAUCUUAGAUAUUUAAUUAUAUCAGGUGCUUUAUCAAAUACUUCUUCAGUGUGCUCACAAAUUAUACCUAUUAACUCGUUACUUACGCAAGAGGUUUUAUACUUAUUAAAAUAUCACCAGUUUAUUCAUUUUGACACGUUAAAUAUUAUAUCCGAUUUAUUGACCACUACAGUGGAAUCACAUUUAUAUCAUAAACUCGUGACUGAUAUUUUAGGUUUGCGUUUACAUAGUGGUUUAUUUAUUAGUAUUUAUAAAUACUAUCUUAAUCUUUUUUUAUCACCAAAGAAAAUACAAAAAGAUAUAUGUCCAUUAUAUAUAAUUAAUGGCGAUAAAAAAGAAUCUUACAGUGUUAAUUACAUAAAUGUAUCAUUUAUAAGAAAAAAUGGAGAACAUGAAGAGGAUUGCCCACACAGACAUUGUACAUCAUGCUCUGAAGCGAAUUGUGUGGCAAGUGAAAGUAGUAUAGACACACAAAAUGAUUUAGAUUCACCAUGUAGUGAUGUAAUCGCAUUAGAUGUACCUACAAGUAUGGCUACUACUACAACCACAAUUACAGAUGAUGUGACAACUCCUGUGACGACUACUGUAAAUACAACUAACGAACCCAUUGAUAAUAACUCGAACCAAGAAAGCACAUCUACUUGUAGCAGAAAUAAUAAUAAUAAUAAUAAUAAUAAUAAUAAUAAUAAUAAUAAUGAAGAAGAAGGAGAAGAAGAAGAAGGAGAAGAAGAAGAAGGAGAAGAAGAAGAAGGAGAGGAAGAAGGAGAGGAAGAAGUAGAGGAAGAAGUAGAGGAAGAAGAUGAUGAUGAAAAUGAAGACAAAACAUUACACAGUAAUUAUAUUAGCACAGAUACGAUUAUAAAAAAUAUAAAAAAAUGUAAACUUAGUAGUAAAAACGAAUUUAUAAAAAUUACAAAAAAACAUUUUAAACAUUUAAAAAAAAAAAAAGAAAAAAUAUCAAUGAUGUUACAACUAUCAACUUUAUAUCAUACUUGUGUAAUCGACCCCUAUCCCAUUUUAACAAUAGUACAACCUAAUACAUUAAAAAUGUUUACUUCGUAUUUGUUAGAUGCAAAGAUAUCUAAUUUACCUAUCGUACAUAUCAUACUUAGAGUAAUGGAAUCACUUUUAGAUUUUACGCCGAACCUACUUUUUACAACAAACAAUGAAGAUGAAUUAUAUAAAAUAUUAUUGUCACGAUUUCAGUAUGAAAUUUUUAUGUUAUCAGAUUCGUUUGUUUAUUUAAAUAGAAACGAUAUUUUAAAUUAUUAUUUUAAACCAUUUUUUUAUGGUAAUUACGAUCAGGAAUUUGUUGAGUCACCUGAAAACAUUCCUCCAUACAUAAAACAAAAAAUAACUGGUUUCUGCAGUUCUCCCGAAUCGUUUGGUGCAGGUCAUCGUGAUACUUUUGCGUGGGUACUUUUGGAAAACAUGAGUGCUGUGAAUUAUGCUGGCACUGGUAAACCCGGUCCUGGUACAGCUCCCGAUUUUAGUAACUGUGAUGACCCCAUGGUUGAUGCACUUAAGCAAUAUUGCGAUACGUAUUUAGAAGACAAAAUAAAAGCAGAAAAAACUAACGAUAGAAUAGUAAAAGUAAAUGAAUACAAAGAAAAUAGUAUAUUUAGUUUACGUAAUGGUAAACUUAUGAAACUGUUUAAUAAAUAUAAUAUAAAUGAAGAAGUGAAUGAUGAAAUAUUAUUACACAGAUUUACAUUUUGGCUAAAAUUGUACAUAUGU
ensembl:lncRNA